UCGAGCGGACAGAUGGGAGCUUGCUCCCUGAUGUCAGCGGCGGACGGGUGAGUAACACGUGGGUAACCUGCCUGUAAGACUGGGAUAACUCCGGGAAACCGGGGCUAAUACCGGAUGCUUGAUUGAACCGCAUGGUUCAAUUAUAAAAGGUGGCUUUUACCUACCACUUACAAAUGGACCCCCGGCCCAUUACCUAUUUGGUGAGGUAACGGCUCACCAAGGCAACAAUGCGUACCCAACCUGAAAGGGUGAUCGGCCACCCUGGGACUGAAACACGGCCCAAACUCCUACGGGAGGCACCAUUAGGGAAUCUUCCCCAAUGGACAAAAGUCUGACGGACCACCCCCCCGUGAUUGAUGAAGGUUUUCGGAUCGUAAAACUCUGUUGUUAGGGAAAAACAAUUACCGUUCGAAUAGGGCGGUACCUUGACGGUACCUAACCAAAAAGCCACGGCUAACUACUUGCCACCACCCGCGGUAAUACUUAGGUGGCAAGCGUUGUCCGGAAUUAUUGGGCGUAAAGCGCGCGCAGGCGGUUUCUUAAUUCUGAUGUGAAAGCCCCCGGCUCACCCGGGAAGGGUCAUUGGAAACUGGGGAACUUGAGUGCAGAAAAGGAGAGUGAAAUUCCACGUGUAGCGUUGAAAUGCGUAGAGAUGUGGAGGACCACCAGUGGCGAAGGCGACUCUCUGGUCCUGUAACUGACGCUGAGGCGCGAAAGCGUGGGGAGC
rnacentral:rRNA from 1 species